rnacentral:rRNA from 1 species
AGAUACCCUGGUAGUCCACGCCGUAAACGAUGAGUGCUAAGUGUUGGAGGGUUUCCGCCCUUCAGUGCUGGAGCUAACGCAUUAAGCACUCCGCCUGGGGAGUACGGCCGCAAGGCUGAAACCCAAAGGAAUUGACGGGGACCCGCACAAGCGGUGGAGCAUGUGGUUUAAUUCAAAGCAACGCGAAGAACCUUACCAGUUCUUGACAUCCUCUGACCACCCAAGAGAUUGGGCUUUCCCUUCGGGGACAGAGUGACAUGUGGUGCAUGGUUGUCGUCAGCUCGUGUCGUGAGAUGUUGGGUUAAGUCCCGUAACGAGCGCAACCCUUAUUGUUAGUUGCCAGCAUUUAGUUGGGCACUCUAACGAGACUGCCGGUGAUAAACCGGAGGAAGGCGGGGAUGACGUCAAAUCAUCAUGCCCCUUAUGAACUGGGCUACACACGUGCUACAAUGGAUGGUACAACGAGUUGCGAGACCGCGAGGUUUAGCUAAUCUCCUAAAGCCAUUCUCAGUUCGGAUUGCAGGCUGCAACUCGCCUGCAUGAAGCUGGAAUCGCUAGUAAUCGCGGAUCAGAACGCCGCGGUGAAUACGUUCCCGGGUCUUGUACACACCGCCCGUCACACCACAAGAGUUUGGAACACCCGAAGUCGGUCGAGUAACCCUUUUAGGGAGCUAGCCGCCGAAUGUGGGCUGGAUGAUUGGGGUGAAGUCGUAACAAGGUAACCAAU